ACUGGUGGAACACCUAGUGCCUCUUGAUAUUCCUAUAAAAUAUAUUGAAUUAAUUGGAUUAAAAAAACAUGGAUUUUAGCACCACAACUUCAAAAACUUCCAAAAAAAAUCCCCAAACACCCAACGAACAAUUUUAGUAAAGAAAUAGAAAAGAUAACGAAACCUUACCUCUAACGAUUUAAACCCCCAAACCGAAGCAACAGAAUCCAAGCAGAUUGAAAAUAGAGAAGGAAAACAAAAUAGAAAAAGAAAACCAAGAGAAAAAGAGAAAGAACAAGACGUUGAAGAACAAAAAAAUGGGAAAUGUGGGUAUAGGGAAGUUUGGGAAAAGAAAAUAAAACAAAUUAAAUUAAAAUAAAGAAUAAUAAAAA
rnacentral:lncRNA from 1 species